AAUUAUAAAAUAAUAAUUGAUUUAAAUUGAAAAAUUAUAAAAAGUAUCCACCAGUAUUAAAAUUUUUAUCUGCUGAAAUAAGAGUUUUAUAGGGUCAGUGAUGGAAAACUUGCAGGUCAAUGGGCAUCAACCUUUAAGGUUGGUAAAUACUUUGAAAAUGAAGCAUAUACUGUAAUACUACCUGCCAAGUACUGACAUUGGCUUGUGUUGUUCAGGUGACACAGUUGUGUAAAAUUGGAGGAAAAAACUUCAAAGACCGUACAAGAAGAAUGCUGGACAGUGUUUUCAAAAAUUCCCUGAUGUCUGCAUUCAACAUGAAAGGAGGAGGUCCACUACAGAAGAAGUCCUUUCAAUCAACUGCCUUAUUCUCAGUCAUCAGAGAUGCAGUGAUGACCAGCUUUCCAUCAGCUACGGAAUGUGAAAUAAAAAAUGCUAUUUCUAAUCAUUUCAAACAAGCACCAGGGAGGGCAGGGGGUGGGGGUUAUGGAUCUAAAGUAAACAGUUAAUUCUUAAAAAUUUUAAUAUCUUAAUUUGUUUUACAUAUUUUUCCAAUGUUUUAUUUGUUCAUUUUUAUGUUUGAAUGUUGUCCAAGUUGUUGUUGUCUAUAUAAUUGUUCAAAAUAAAUCCCUUUAUAUUCAA